AGUCGAACGGAAUCCUUAGGGAUUUAGUGGCGGACGGGUGAGUAACACGUAAGAACCUGCCUCUAGGACGGGGACAACAGUUGGAAACGACUGCUAAACCCGGAUGAGCCGAAAGGUAAAAGAUUAAUCGCCUAGAGAGGGGCUUGCGUCUGAUUAGCUAGUUGGUGAGGUAAGAGCCCACCAAGGCGACGAUCAGUAGCUGGUCUGAGAGGAUGAUCAGCCACACUGGGACUGAGACACGGCCCAGACUCCUACGGGAGGCAGCAGUGGGGAAUUUUCCGCAAUGGGCGAAAGCCUGACGGAGCAAGACCGCGUGGGGGAGGAAGGUUCUUGGAUUGUCAACCCCUUUUCUCAGGGAAGAACACAAUGACGGUACCUGAGGAAAAAGCAUCGGCUAACUCCGUGCCAGCAGCCGCGGUAAUACGGGGGAUGCAAGCGUUAUCCGGAAUGAUUGGGCGUAAAGAGUCCGUAGGUAGUCAUCCAAGUCUGCUGUUAAAGAGCGAGGCUUAACUUCGUAAAGGCAGUGGAAACUGGAAGACUAGAGUGUAGUAGGGGCAGAGGGAAUUCCUGGUGUAGCGGUGAAAUGCGUAGAGAUCAGGAAGAACACCGGUGGCGAAGGCGCUCUGCUGGGCUAUAACUGACACUGAGGGACGAAAGCUAGGGGAGCGAAUGGGAUUAGAUACCCCAGUAGUCCUAGCGGUAAACGAUGGAAACUAGGUGUGGCCUGUAUCGACCCGGGCCGUGCCGAAGCAAACGCGUUAAGUUUCCCGCCUGGGGAGUACGCACGCAAGUGUGAAACUCAAAGGAAUUGACGGGGGCCCGCACAAGCGGUGGAGUAUGUGGUUUAAUUCGAUGCAACGCGAAGAACCUUACCAGGACUUGACAUCUCUGGAAUCUCCUUGAAAGGGGAGAGUGCCGUAAGGAACCAGAAGACAGGUGCUGCAUGGCUGUCGUCAGCUCGUGUCGUGAGAUGUUGGGUUAAGUCCCGCAACGAGCGCAACCCUCGUCGUUAGUUGCCAUCAUUAAGUUGGGAACUCUAGCGAGACUGCCGGUGACAAACCGGAGGAAGGUGAGGAUGACGUCAAGUCAGCAUGGCCCUUACGUCCUGGGCGACACACGUACUACAAUGCGAGGGACACAGAGCAGCCAACCCGCGAGGGAGAGCGAAUCUCACAAACCCUGGCACAGUUCAGAUUGCAGGCUGCAACUCGCCUGCAUGAAGGAGGAAUCGCUAGUAAUCGCAGGUCAGCAUACUGCGGUGAAUCCGUUCCCGGGCCUUGUACACACCGCCCGUCACACCAUGGAAGUGAGCCACGCCCGAAGUCAUUACUCUAACCCAA
rnacentral:rRNA from 1 species